GAAAAUGUAGACUGAAAAUAAGGUUAAACCUGUGGUUGCAACUGAAUAUACUCCAAUCGCCCCUCAAUCAUAGUUUCAUUCUUUUUUGUUUUGUACGUGCCUCGAUAUCCAAUUUCUAUGGGAGCCAUGUUGAUAGAAGAAGUAUAAUGGUUAUAGUUAAUUCAGUAAAAUUAUAUAGCGAUAACAGAUAUUGAAGUCUUUUUUCUUGUGAAUUGUUUUCAGAAUACACGGGUAGGAGAGUAAUUCUUUUAAGUUAUGAGAUGUUUUUGAUAUUUGCGUUAAAAAAACACUCUAACUUUUAUACUCUUAAAUUCUUGAUCCUUCGUUAGGUUAGUGUGUUAACUUUUUCUAUAUAUUUUUCGUAAUACAGUGAAUGGAGAUUGUUACAUAACAAGUGUAAUUGGUUUGUCUCACUGCACAGGAGACUAAGUUAUCUAGGGAGGCAUUUUGUGUUUUUUAGGGACAUAGUGGGACUCUUCAAAGUCUAUCAAGGUAAGAGAGAAUCAUUUUCGGUUGAUGUGUUGGGAUGACCAUCUUUCCUGGCGUAUGUUCAAGGAUUUACUGCAUACUUUCUUUGGAGGAAGAAGCAAGAGGGAAUACAGUAGCACUUAAUGUUAGUGAAUUUUUGCAUUCUAUGUAUAUUUGGGUAUAAACUUAUUAGCGCCAAGUGUUUAUAAAAA
rnacentral:lncRNA from 1 species